rnacentral:rRNA from 1 species
AUUGAACGCUGGCGGCAUGCCCUACACAUGCAAGUCGAACGGCAGCGCGGACUUCGGUCUGGCGGCGAGUGGCGAACGGGUGAGUAAUACAUCGGAGCGUACCCUGUUGUGGGGGAUAACUAGUCGAAAGAUUAGCUAAUACCGCAUACGACCUGAGGGUGAAAGUGGGGGACCGCAAGGCCUCACGCAGCAGGAGCGGCCGAUGUCUGAUUAGCUAGUUGGUGGGGUAAUGGCCCACCAAGGCGACGAUCAGUAGCUGGUCUGAGAGGACGAUCAGCCACACUGGGACUGAGACACGGCCCAGACUCCUACGGGAGGCAGCAGAGGGGAAUUUUGGACAAUGGGGGCAACCCUGAUCCAGCAAUGCCGCGUGUGUGAAGAAGGCCUUCGGGUUGUAAAGCACUUUUGUCCGGAAAGAAAUCGCGCUGGUUAAUACCUGGCGUGGAUGACGGUACCGGAAGAAUAAGCACCGGCUAACUACGUGCCAGCCGCCGCAGUAA